UGCUGAGCGGGGCCAAAUGGUAUAUGAGCCCCAGGCAUGGUAUUAGAGAGCUCCUUCUGCCUGGGCUGCUCCUUGGGAGGACUAAAACCAGCUUGAUUACCGGCUACAUGUGGCUUGACAGCGUAGAUGCAGCAUUACCAAGAGACUGAGCAGAGUUGUAUCAGAGUCACCUUUUCAUCUGCAAAGGGUGCUUGGUUCAGUUGUGGAGAGGGAAGGAAAUC